rnacentral:tRNA from 2 species
GCCUAGAUAGCUUAACUGGUAAAGUACGGAACUGAAAAUUCUGGUUAGAAUGUUCAAGUCAUUCUCAAGGCA